rnacentral:lncRNA from 1 species
CCAAAUUAAAAAUGUGUUUUGAACCCUGCUGAUACUUCUCUCUAAUACUAUGUCUGAUAUGCACGUGGUUAGUUCUCAAGUCUCAAAUAACUUUGGCACAGAGAAGUAUGGUUAUGGAACAGCAUUGGUGCUGAAUGAAGUGAACAACAGCAUGAGAUUAGCCAUUGCAGUGUAGGAAUCAUGGUGAUUGGAUAAACAACCGUAGGUGUGUGUGAAUCUUCUGU